rnacentral:rRNA from 1 species
GCUUUCGUGCAUGAGCGUCAGUGUUAUCCCAGGAGGCUGCCUUCGCCAUCGGUGUUCCUCCGCAUAUCUACGCAUUUCACUGCUACACGCGGAAUUCCACCUCCCUCUGACACACUCUAGCUCGGUAGUUAAAAAUGCAGUUCCAAAGUUAAGCUCUGGGAUUUCACAUCUUUCUUUCCGAACCGCCUGCGCACGCUUUACGCCCAGUAAUUCCGAUUAACGCUUGCACCCUACGUAUUACCGCGGCUGCUGGCACGUAGUUAGCCGGUGCUUAUUCUGCAGGUACCGUCAGUUUCACGGGGUAUUARCCCAUGACGUUUCUUUCCUGCCAAAAGUGCUUUACAACCCGAAGGCCUUCAUCGCACACGCGGGAUGGCUGGAUCAGGGUUUCCCCCAUUGUCCAAAAUUCCCCACUGCUGCCUCCCGUAGGAGUCUGGGCCGUGUCUCAGUCCCAGUGUGGCUGGUCGUCCUCUCAAACCAGCUACGGAUCGUCGCCUUGGUGAGCCGUUACCCCACCAACUAGCUAAUCCGAUAUCGGCCGCUCUAAUAGUGCAAGGUCUUGCGAUCCCCUGCUUUCCCCCGUAGGGCGUAUGCGGUAUUAGCUACGCUUUCGCGUAGUUAUCCCCCGCUACUAGGCACGUUCCGAUACAUUACUCACCCGUUCGCCACUCGCCACCAGACCGAAGUCCGUGCUGCCGUUCGACUUGCAUGUGUAAGGCAUCCCGCUAGCGUUCAAU